GUCCUCGUGGCGCAGUGGUUCAGCGCUGGGAGGUCCUUUUUGGAAGACGCAGGUUCGAUUCCUGCCGGGGACA
rfam:Gaeumannomyces graminis var. tritici R3-111a-1 unplaced genomic scaffold supercont2.1, whole genome shotgun sequence.